CCUACGUGCGGCAGCAGUGGGGAAUAUUGGACAAUGGGCGAAAGCCUGAUCCAGCCAUGCCGCGUGUGUGAAGAAGGCCUUCGGGUUGUAAAGCACUUUCAGUGGGGAAGAAAGCCUUGGGGCUAAUACCCUCGAGGAAGGACAUCACCCACAGAAGAAGCACCGGCGUAACUCCGUGCCAGCAGCCGCGGUAAUACGGAGGGUGCGAGCGUUAAUCGGAAUUACUGGGCGUAAAGCGCGCGUAGGCGGUCUGAUAAGCCGGUUGUGAAAGCCCCGGGCUCAACCUGGGAACGGCAUCCGGAACUGUCAGGCUAGAGUGCAGGAGAGGAAGGUAGAAUUCCCGGUGUAGCGGUGAAAUGCGUAGAGAUCGGGAGGAAUACCAGUGGCGAAGGCGGCCUUCUGGACUGACACUGACGCUGAGGUGCGAAAGCGUGGGUAGCAAACAGGAUUAGAUACCCCUGUAGUC
rnacentral:rRNA from 1 species